AGCUGGAUUAUACAACCGUUUAGAAAAGCUGGCCGCAAGAGAACCCGAUAAAUAGGAUCAGGAACGCUUUGGGAUCCGGGGGAAACCGAGGAAGAAAUCGGAAGUGACAUCUAGCGGGGUUGGGCGCUGAGCGGGACUACCUGGCCUACCGCAAUUUCGGCCGGAAGUGAUGCACAGGAAGUUACGCCCUGGAGGCGGUCCCUGGUGGUGGAGGGCGUCGCGAUGGGAGGGGCGGAGCGUCUGUGGUCAUCCUGGAACCUUGGAUCCGGGGCAGUUUUGCAGAACACUGAUAUCAAUGGACUCUAACAUGGACUUCAUUUAAAGAAAUCCACCGACCAUUAUUGGACAAAAACAUGAAUCAAUUUGUAUUGUGGCAUUCAAAUCCUAGCACUUUGGGAAAGCUAAUGCUACAAAUUACAGAAAUACAGUAGCUCAGAAGAGAAAGAAGCUUGGGGAUGUGGAAGAAGAUGAAGCAGCAUAACAUUUUAUCUUGCCAAGAACAGAAUUCGGGAUCCACUUUUACUCU